GCCGAUGUGGCGGAAUUGGCAGACGCGCUGCGUUCAGGGCGCAGUUCUUUCAUCGGAGUGUGGGUUCGAAUCCCACCAUCGGCACCA
rnacentral:tRNA from 2 species